rnacentral:sRNA from 1 species
UGAAUACCUAAACUAAUGUAUGCGGCCG